CCUACGGGUGGCAGCAGUGAGGAAUAUUGGUCAAUGGACGCAAGUCUGAACCAGCCAUGCCGCGUGCAGGAAGACGGCUCUAUGGGUUGUAAACUUCUUUUGUACGAGGGUAAACUCAGAUACGCGUAUCUUUCUGUAAGUAUCUUACGAAUAAGGAUCGGCUAACUCCGUGCCAGCAGCCGCGGUAAUACGGAGGAUUCAAGCGUUAUCCGGAUUUAUUGGGUUUAAAGGGUGCGUAGGCGGUCGGAUAAGUUAGAGGUGAAAUCCCGAGGCUCAACCUCGGAAUUGCCUCUGAUACUGGUCGGCUAGAGAGCAGUUGAGGUAGGCGGAAUGUAUGGUGUAGCGGUGAAAUGCUUAGAUAUCAUACAGAACACCGAUUGCGAAGGCAGCUUACCAAGCUACCACUGACGUUGAGGCACGAAAGCGUGGGGAGCAAACAGGAUUAGAUACCCCUGUAGUC
rnacentral:rRNA from 1 species